rnacentral:lncRNA from 1 species
UCUGGUCCAAUGGGUUAACUGAACUUCAUCUUUGUCAGGUUGUGGUUGUUGUGACUACCCAUCUAUACUUAUCAAUGAACAUGGAAAUACCAUGAGGCAUGUCAAUGAAUCUCUUGAGUUCCAUGUAUAUCUCUGAUGUCCUCCUUAUGUGAAAGAACCCUACCUCCUUGUAAUAAAGGUUAAUCAGGUUUAGUUACUUUGCCAGUAGCAUAUCUCUUUUCUUUAAUUGCUGGCUUACUAGCAUGAGGAGUCCAAUAGGCCAAAUCGCAGCCAUAGCUUUAGGUAGAAGCACACCCCUCAUUACCACCAAAAGCCAGAAACUCCCGUUUGGGAAAGUUUAAAGCUGUAAGAGCAGGAAGCACAAAGUUUCCAAGUUGGUCUUUGGGAAUGAUGGGAAGAGGUGCCACAUUCCUGUAUUGUAGCUGCAUCAUUCUAGCAUUCUAUCAGGUCAACAGUUUUGGGGUGAUGCAGUAUAUGGUAGCAUUAGUGUCUCCUGGGGUAAUAUGGUCAUUAUCACAUCUAAUUUUCUAUACAAUUGAAGCCAGCUUGGGAGAUAAGUUACACUAAGCCUUUGGCAAUGCAUGUAGCAGAGAAGGCAAACCCACUCCCAGAAUGUGUGCCAGUACCACUACAAACAAAGCACAGCCACUCCAGGGCAGCACGGGUCUGCAGUGUGAUUGAUUUGUCACCCCCUGAAGUAGACAGGCACUCUGUUAUGGAGCCAUACAUGACCCACCUCCCUGCCACUGUGGUUCUCUAUUCAUGAAUCAACUGUACAGCAUUAGAGUGGUCUCAGAUAGAAGCUGGCUAAUAUCCACAAAAUCAGUCAUGUCCACCAUGUUGUCCAGUUCUCCUCUGUGAUGGACAUGAAUGCCACCUGCUGGGAAGUAACAUAAGACAGUGAUCUGCCCACUUUGUCCCCCAUCUCAUGGCUCCACUCACAUGCCUUUUCCUCCUCACAUCCCCAAUCUCGCUAUGUCUAGGCCCCUGGCGAAGCAGCCAACGCAUUCCCCACUGCUCAGGAGUCCAUACAUACCCCCAUUCUUGUUCGCCUAUUUCUCCCUCCACAAGAAGUUGAUGCCCGUCUAUUCCUUUAGUUUCUGUCCUCUAGGAGGAUUACUCCUCACUACUGUUUUUCUUCAGGAUGGGGCUGGAAAAUAUAAGCGGUCCAUUUUGGGCUCAUUCCAC